GCCUCUAUAGCUCAGUGGUAGAGCGCGUCACUCGUAUCAGUAGAGCAGUAUUGAUAAUAUGCGACAUGACGAGGUCCAUCGUUCGAUCCGGUGUGGAGGCA